AAUCGCUAGUAAUCGCGGAUCAGCAUGCCGCGGUGAAUACGUUCCCGGGCCUUGUACACACCGCCCGUCACACCAUGAGAGUCGGAACACCCGAAGCCCGUAGCCUAACUUGCAAGAGAGGGCGCGGUCGAAGGUGGGUUCGAUAAUUGGGGUGAAGUCGUAACAAGGUACC
rnacentral:rRNA from 1 species